GACCUUGCGGUGAAAUACAUCAUGCCUGCAUCCUAUAUAACAGCUGAGAUUCAGAAAUAGUUAGCGGGAGUUCCCGGUUCGAAUCCGGGUUGGGUCA